rnacentral:rRNA from 1 species
UACGGGGGGGGCAAGCGUUGUUCGGAAUUACUGGGCGUAAAGGGCUCGUAGGUGGCCAACUAAGUCAGACGUGAAAUCCCUCGGCUUAACCGGGGAACUGCGUCUGAUACUGGAUGCCUUGAGUUCGGGAGAGGGAUGCGGAAUUCCAGGUGUAGCGGUGAAAUGCGUAGAUAUCUGGAGGAACACCGGUGGCGAAGGCGGCAUCCUGGACCGACACUGACACUGAGGAGCGAAAGCCAGGGGAGCAAACGGG